rnacentral:lncRNA from 1 species
ACUGAACUCCGUGGAAAAUUCAAAACGGAAAGUCCCUUAUCAAAUGGCAAAUUUAAAAGCUCAAACACAUCAAGCGAAUGGAUAACAACUGUCAUAUUCCUGACAUCGUACAAGCAUUUUCUAAUGUAGAAAAUGGUGGAUUAAACCUAAUUUUAUACAUGUAGCUAGCUACACCUCUCCCUUGUAUGACAGUCAUUUCAUAUUGACAACGAUGUGUGAAGAAAAAAAACAGACAUAAUAGUUAAAAAUGUCAAAAAUAGGUGUACCGCAGUCAACAUUGUGUUAUAAUCUUAAACAUAUCUUUUCUACAAACGAAGCCCUGUUUUGCUCAUAUUGGUGACCGUAUGAGGUGUAUACAUGUGCACACAAUAAAUUGGGAAAAAUUCAGAAAAGAAACCAUCUGUUUUGAGGGCACAGGGUUGGAUGUGUGGUUAAUUAUAAAUUCAACUGGUCUUUAAGGAAUUUCCUACCACUUUGCACGCAAGAAGAAAUGUUGUAAUCUAUCAAAUAGCACGAUUGUGAUUCUUUGAUUUAUGACUAUUCUCUUGAAUGAAUUAACACUUUAAUGUUAUCAAAGUUACAAAAUCACCGAAGUAUUGUUAAAACUUCUGCAUACGGACAAAACAUGUUGAAUGAAAAUCACUGUGAUUCAUUGGCGAAUAAGAGAAAUUUCAUGACAGAAUUUUUAUAUAAUAAGGCCAC